rnacentral:rRNA from 1 species
UACAGAGGUCCCGAGCGUUGUUCGGAUUCAUUGGGCGUAAAGGGUGUGUAGGAGGUUGGGUAAGUCGGAUGUGAAAUCUCACCGCUUAACGGUGAAAUGGCGUUCGAUACUGCUCAGCUAGAGGAUCGGAGGGAGAGCGGAAUUCUUGGUGUAGCAGUGAAAUGCGUAGAUAUCAAGAGGAACACCGGUGGCGAAGGCGGCUCUCUGGAAGAUUCCUGACUCUGAGACACGAAAGCUAGGGAGCAAACGGG